rnacentral:pre_miRNA from 1 species
AUAACAUUAGGACCGUCGGUCUACUGAGCAAUAUCACCUGCUCGGUGGAAGAUCUUCCCUCCGUCGU